rnacentral:rRNA from 1 species
CUUUUACAAUGAAGAGUUUGAUCCUGGCUCAGGAUGAACGCUAGCUACAGGCUUAACACAUGCAAGUCGAGGGGCAGCAGGAUCUAGCAAUAGAUUGCUGGCGACCGGCGCACGGGUGAGUAACACGUAUCCAACCUGCCGAUAACUCGGGGAUAGCCUUUCGAAAGAAAGAUUAAUACCCGAUGGUAUAAUCAGACCGCAUGGUCUUGUUAUUAAAGAAUUUCGGUUAUCGAUGGGGAUGCGUUCCAUUAGGCAGUUGGUGAGGUAACGGCUCACCAAACCUUCGAUGGAUAGGGGUUCUGAGAGGAAG